rnacentral:miRNA from 1 species
UAGUAUGCUAUUAGGUUGGUGCUAAAGUAAUUGCACUUUUCAACCAUUACUUUUAAUGGCAAAAACUGCAAUUACUUUUGCACCAACCCGAUA